GAUGGAAUGAUGAAGACGACUUGUGAUGGCAAGCCCUUAAAGGCCAUACCGGAGAUUACUUUCCAGUACUCAAAAUGAUCAGAUGCCUUCAUGAUGGAAUGCUUUUGCCCAACUUGAGGCAAUGGGACAUCAUUUAUUACUAAGAAGUUAGGCAUGUUCAUAUCCUUCAAAUUCAAUAGAGUUUAGAAGAAUCUACGGUACUUGCUGCAUUUGCUUUGGAGUGAAAUACUGGUGAAGAAUCAAAUUUCGCUGUUGAGUUUUCUUCUCAAUCAAUAGAGGCUCUGAUCUGUAAAUAUUUUCUUUUGAUCCUCACAGAGAGGAUAUAUGUAUAGUUGUGUAUUUAAAUAUGUUUGAUGGGCAUGGAGCUUAAUAGGUUUUAUGGUUUCUUUUAGCUGUAAAAUUUAGGGGAAAUUCUAUAGGUUAGGGACGGGUGUGUCACAAGCUAUACUGCAAGAUGUUUUAUGCAGGUUUCUGUGGGCAGAGUGGACUUGUUAUCCCUAUGGAUUAGCUUUUGCCAGAAUGCUAACCCUAUAUGUUCACUGGACAUGGGAUACUCCCGAAGUUUCUUGGACCAACAAUACGAGUUAUUUGAGAAUGUUUUCCUCAACUGUCUGCUCAAUUCCACAUUCAACCACCCUUCUGCCUAUGAGAGAUUUACAUGGAUGGAAAAUUUCUAAUCAAAGUUUCUUGUUGUCUCAAAGACCCAUAGAGGAGCCUCUCAAAUUGCAGGCAUUUCUCAUCAAGCAAAUCUAAUUUAACAAAAUGAUCCACACCCCUCAAAUGUCAACACUUCAAUAGUUGUCCCACCAAGUGGAUGCUCUUGUUGAUGGCAGAUCCACAA